CCUACGGGGGGCAGCAGUGAGGAAUAUUGGUCAAUGGGCGCGAGCCUGAACCAGCCAAGUAGCGUGAAGGAUGACUGCCCUACGGGUUGUCAACUUCUUUUAUAAAGGCAUAAAGUGAGGCACGUGUUCCUUUUUGUAUUUACUUUAUGAAUAAGGAUCGGCUAACUCCGAGCCAGCAGCCGCGGUAAUAAGGAGGAUCCUAGCGUUAUCCGGAUUUAUUUGGUUUAAAGGGGGCGUAGAUGGGUUGUUAAGUCAGUUGUGAAAGUUUGCGGCUCAACCGUAAAAUUGCAAUUGAUACUGGCAGUCGUGAGUACAGUUGAGGUAGGCGGAAUUCGUGGUGUAGCGGUGAAAUGCUUAGAUAUCACGAAGAACUCCGAUUGCGAAGGCAGCUUACUAAACUGCCACUGACAUUGAUGCUCGAAAGUGUGGGUAUCAAACAGGAUUAGAUAUCCCAGUAGUC
rnacentral:rRNA from 1 species